AUCCAGGUGCAUGGGCAUGACGUCUACCAGUGAAGGGUUUCCUGAGGUGACGUUUUUGCUAGUUGAAAACUACAACUACUGACCGCUUGUGUUGGCCUUCGGGUCGGCACGGAAUAUUUGGAACACAACUGGU
rnacentral:snRNA from 1 species